AUGUAAGUUAAGUGGUAAAGGAUGUGGGAUUGCACAGACAACCAGGAUGUUGGCUUAGAAGCAGCCACUCAUUCAAAGAGUGCGUAAUAGCUCACUGGUCGAGUGAUCCUGCGCCGAAGAUUUCCGGGGCUAAAACUUACUACCGAAGCUACGGCAUCAGUAAUGAUGGGUAGGGGAGCUUCCCAUACGGGUUGAAGCAUGACCGUAAGGACAUGUGGACAGUAUGGGAGUGAGAAUGUUGGCAUGAGUAGCGAGAUGUGGGUGAGAAUCCCACAGGCCGUAAACCCAAGGUUUCCAGGGGAAGGUUCGUCCGCCCUGGGUUAGUCGGGACCUAAGCUGAGGCCGAAAGGCGUAGGUGAUGGACAACAGGUUGAUAUUCCUGUACUACCGAU
rnacentral:rRNA from 1 species